CCUGUGUGCUUGUGUUUUCCUGGCUGAGAAACCGGUUCUGUGCUGCUCUCUCUCUCUCUCUCUCUCCCUCUCUCUCUCUCUCGCUCUCUCUCUGUCUCUCUUUCUCCGUCUCUCUCUGUCUUUUCUCUUGCUGUGUCUCGCGCUGUUCCAGUAUCGGUGGCUGGGUUGACAGCUGGCGUCCUCUUUGAGGCCCCUUCUUUCAUUUUGUUUCAGCACAAUUUGUGCUUCAGCUUUUUCUUUUUUGAACAGUUGAUCUUUUCUGUUUUUCUCUCUCUCUCUCUCUCUCUCUCUGUCUUUCUCGCUCUCUCUGUUUCUUUCUUUUCAUGCCUCCUCCCCUUCUCUUCCCCCUCCUGACGCUGAUCCGUGGAGGAAGAGGAAGAGGAAGAGGAACAGAAAGGUGUCUCUGGGAAAGGGGGAUGAGAGGCAGAAACAGUGAGACAGAGCGUGAAAGAAAGCGAGCGAGCGAGAGAAGGAGGAGGAGGAGGAGGAGGAGGAGGAGGAGGACGGAGAGAGCCGGACCGAAUCAGAGAGAAGUGAAAAAGGGGAGAAAGAGAAGAGUUGUGAAGAAAGAAGACUGACAGAGAGCAGAGGACGACAACAGGGACAGCCGAACCGAACAAAAUCGCGGGGAAAGCGGAACAACGGGGCGAGACAAGCGGACUCAUCCGACCUCUGCUGUGAUUGGCCGGCCCACACCCACAUCAGCCCUGUCCUGCAGCCUCCCCCAGGUGUUCAGGUGUGGGGUUGCACCUCCACGGCCCGCUGGCCCGCUGGCCCCACGUACCCAGGGAGGCAGACUUGUCUUUCUCCGAUGGCAGCAGACUUCCAGUGGAGGGAUACGUUUGGCUUUUACUCGUCUCUGUCCCUCAGCAGCCUUAGGAUUUGAAUCUUGCUUCCCCAUAAGGAAGUCUGUCUGCCUGGGUGCUAUCCAUCCCCUUCCUUCACUUUGAUGCCAUACCACGUUAGCGAACAAAAGGACCUUGCAAAAUGGCCAGAGGAUUCAUGUUUUCCUGGGCACAUGAAACAGUAGUGCAAGAAGAACCGAUUUGGUUGAUGCGGGCCUUCAAAUCUUUAAUUUUAUUUUAUUAUUUAAUAAUUUUUUUUUGGGGGGGGGGGUGGAGACAGGAUCCUGCAGGAUCUCCAUCUUCCCUUGUCCUCACAUCACCUGGACCGUUGGAGGGCGUGAGUUCAGAGUCAUCCCGGCGCACACAGAGCAGUCGACAGUCGAUUUUCAACAGGAAAAAAAGGGAAUUAUACAGGGUAUACCCAUUGGUUUUGUGAAUUAGGUUUAGGAAUGACACGACGAAAGGUUUUGUGACUAGUUUGCAUCAAGAAGACUAAAACGCGCAAGAUAAUGUCAUAGAAACUUGUCACACUGGUGCACAUUGCUGUCUUUAAAGGGAAGAUCUCGGAGCUUCUCUGCGGCAUGCUAUAUUGUGGUGAAAUGCAGUAUCUAAUUCUGCCUCCAUUGUGUCAUCCUGACACUUAGCUUUCUGUUACCAGUAAAAAUGUGUGAUGUCGCGUAUUAUUAAUAGCAUGAUGUAUAGAGACACCAUGUAGCUCAUAAGCUUCAGUUUGAUAGUACACUGCAACAUUUGUUUCUCGAAGGUUCCUCACAUCUUUUUUUUCACAGAUGUGAUAUGACAAAAGCUGACGAGAAAAAAAAACGAAAAGCCAAGAAGGAAAAAAAUCACUAACGUGUCUGAGUUUCAAAAAUUGUUUAAGACAAGCCUUUGUGUCCCAGCGUGCACCUCUGUCCCUGAGACCCUUAACCUGUGAAGUCAUAACAGGUCACAGGUGAGGUCCUCAGGAACAGGGUUUCAUGCGUUUUCACCCCAGUAGUCCUGUAGAGUUCUGCUGUACAUUCACUUCCCUGAGAUAGAGAGACCCAAAAGGUAAUCUACGGCUUUAAAACCACUCACGAAUGAAGUGUGCUGAUGACCUUUCCUAAAACUGCUGAUCUAACUAAAAAGGACCAGACCCGCAGAUUGAACGAUACGCCCUAUGAAUAUUCAUCGCAACGAUUACUAGCCUUUCAUCAGACAUUUUCCGAGCAAGGGCAGAGAGAGGGAAAACAGAGAAGAAAAGAGGGUAGGAUGCUAAAUGAAGGAGGACGAGAGACCGAGGAAGAGGAUGAGGAAGAGCAAAUUGUUCUUGACUCAAGGGGGCAUACCCUUUUGGCUGUCUUUGUUGUUCUCACCCCUGAGAGAUGUGAUGAGAAGGCAGCCAAGGCCAGUGACCCCGACACACAGUCCUCGCUGAAUGUGAUGGCUAAUGAAUGCAUCCCUCCUAUGGCAUAUAAACAGCUCUGAUAUUCUAUAUGAUGUUUCUUCUCUGGCACUACAUGAAUAAACAUGUGUUCUCACAAAAGAGUGUCCAUUAAAUAUUUCUUAUGCAAUAUUUCAUAGAAUGUGUACGUUUGUAUUUGUGUGUGUGUGUGUGUGUCUGUGUGAGAGAGAGAGAGAGAGAGAGAGAGAGAAAAGGAGAUAGAUAAUCUCUGCGUGGUGUUUAAUUCCACUGUGCAAACGAACAGGAUGAAGCCUGAAGCAUCUGUUGUGCAGAAGAAUAAAGAUGAUCUGAACGUCUGAAAGAGCUCAGAAUCCAAUCAAGGCCCACACACCCACCAACUUUAUUACAGAUUCCUCCAUUUCCUAUAUGACUCCCGAAGCUGUUAAAGAACAUUAAGAUCUCAUUAGUAAUCCAAGCACUCCGCCACAGUCCAAUGAGCCCAGCUCAUAUAUAGGGCUAUUCGGGGGG
ensembl:lncRNA